rnacentral:rRNA from 1 species
GACGAACGCUGGCGGCGUGCUUAACACAUGCAAGUCGAACGAAGUGGCGAACGGGUGAGUAACGCGUAAUCAACCUGCCCUUCAGAGGGGGAAAACAGUUGGAAACGACUGCUAAUACCGCAUACUGAAGGAGGGGAGUGCGUCUGAUUAGCUAGUUGGAGGGGUAACGGCCCACCAAGGCGAUGAUCAGUAGCCGGUCUGAGAGAAUGAACGGCCACAUUGGGACGUGGACACGGCCCAGACUCCUACGGGAGGCAGCAGUGGGGAAUCGUCCGCAAUGGAGGAAAGUCUGACGGAGCAACGCCGCGUGAGUGAGGACGGCCGUCGGGUUGUAAAGCUCUGUUAAUCGGGACGCGGUACCGGAAUAGAAAGCCACGGCUAACUACGUGCCAGCAGCCGCGGUAAUAC